rnacentral:rRNA from 1 species
GAUGAACGCUGGCGGCGUGCCUAAUACAUGCAAGUCGAGCGAACUGACGAGGAGCUUGCUCCUCUGACGUUAGCGGCGGACGGGUGAGUAACACGUGGAUAACCUACCUAUAAGACUGGGAUAAUUUCGGGAAACCGGAGCUAAUACCGGAUAAUAUAUUGAACCGCAUGGUUCAAUAGUGAAAGACGGUUUUGCUGUCACUUAUAGAUGGAUCCGCGCCGCAUUAGCUAGUUGGUAAGGUAACGGCUUACCAAGGCAACGAUGCGUAGCCGACCUGAGAGGGUGAUCGGCCACACUGGAACUGAGACACGGUCCAGACUCCUACGGGAGGCAGCAGUAGGGAAUCUUCCGCAAUGGGCGAAAGCCUGACGGAGCAACGCCGCGUGAGUGAUGAAGGUCUUCGGAUCGUAAAACUCUGUUAUUAGGGAAGAACAAAUGUGUAAGUAACUAUGCACGUCUUGACGGUACCUAAUCAGAAAGCCACGGCUAACUACGUG